GCGGUGUCCCCAUCAUCACAUCCCUCCCUCAGAGCUCUCACUGUGAGGAAAAAAGCAUCCAUCUCAUUCGUUACAGGCAGGUAAUAAAUCAGCCCAUGAAAACAGCCUGCAGGCACUAAGGAGUUACAGCAUCCUACCAGGAAAUGUCUGCUGGCAGCCAAUGGAAGGAGUGACAAACAAUGCAGAUGACUCAUGGUUCCAGCAGCAGAUCAGAGCAGAGCUGUGCUGGCCAUCUGCAGCAGCUUCGCUGUGUCACCUGUCCUUUUAUGCCUGCGUUCUCAAAUGGACUGGAAGUUGCUGCUUCAGGAAAUAGCAGAUGUCAGAUGCUGUAAGCCUGAAUGCUUUCUUCCUGCCUUCUCUUGGGAUUUUCCAGCAUCAUGGACUCACAGGGAUAGCAAGUGAUGAGCUACAUGUCUCUCUGCUCACUCCCCCACGAGGCAUAUAAGAGAAGUUAUCUUUCAUGGCAAAACUAAGGACAGGCUACAACGAAAGAGAUCCCCACAUAAAUUACAGGCAGUAGUCACAGCCUGCUAUUCAACUUCAGCACUGUAAUUUUUGUUUAUUGUCCAGAUUACGGUCUAACCAACUAGAGGCAACAGCAGCUGAGAUCAGACCUGCAGAACUGCAAUGAGGAAGUGCCAGGAUGCAGUGUUCCUCCCUCCUGAAAGACGUGUUCAUGUAAGGAGGCGCUUACAGGAGGUCAACAUGGAAUCUGCUGGCACCAUUUACUGAGCCACUCAUACUUUUAACUUCAGGAUCUGUACACCGAUGGAAGAUUACCUGUCUCUUUUGGAACUGCCAUAUGCUUUUAGUUGCCUAAGUGAAUGAGACAACCCCGGAUUGUCUUUUUGGAGUACUGUCCUGGGAGAACCUAAGCAGACAGGAACUUUGUAAGGGAUGUGUAGACCUUCUAAAUGGAACUUUUACUGGUAUAAAUAAGGAAGCAAACUCUACUGCAAGCUACAGUCUGAUGUUCACAAAGGAGACAGCACUUAAUGCAUGCAAAGGUUCAGAAGUAUUCGUACUGAGACAGGUGUACACAACUCGGAGGUCACCUGUUCACAAAAACUCAACCAAAUAAUGACAGAGAAAAUCCCUCUUGUAGCACCAAACUUGUCAACUAUUCUACUUGAUAGCAGUAUGAAUAAUGCAGGAAGAGAAAAUAUUCUUGAGAUGGAUCUGGCAAAUUCUAUCCCACGGAACACAACAAAGAAAGGUCUCUACCUUGAAACAUAUUCAGCUCCAGCUAUUCCAAGAAAAGGAUAAAUAUUACUAUUCGUGCUGCAUAUCACCCAGGCUCUUACAGUAGAAGGCGAUUUUGUACUCUUCCCUUGUCUGGUCUGUCUUCAGGCAAAGAAAACAGUUCGCAUUAGGACUCACCCCUGGCACUUCAGCACAGAUCACAAACUGUGCACCUUGAAAACCAGCGACAGAGUCAUCAUGGAAUCAUUUGACUUGGAAGGGACAAAGCAGCCGUUGCAUAGGUUCCCUCCUGAGAUAUCCUGCUGCUGUGACUUUUGUUGAGGUUUGUUAACUGGACUUGGAAUGACAAUGAUUCACUUUCCUCUGUCAUAACCUGUAGACUGAAGUCAGUCGCUCCUGCAGACCACGGUUUUAUUCCUCUCAUGGAAAAAGCCAGCUGGAUUAAAAGAUCACAUCAACCCACUGCUUGCAGCAAGAUUGGUACAACAAAUUCUAGUUUUGGACCUCAGAGGGAGGAGUGCAAUGUGCAACAUGCUCAGUGUGAAGUUAAACCAGAAAGAAGAGAUCUCAAGCUGAUUGUUUUUUGAAGUCAUGGUUCUGCUGACCUGCAAAGGAAAGUAGUAAGAUCACCUUUGUUAUAAUGAAAAUGAGGUUAUAGAAAUGCUGGGUUUUCAACUCACAGUGGGAUUCCUUCAAGCUGCAAAGCACUGAAAUAACAUGAGAAAGUUCACUAAACAAUCUACAAGGAUUUCAGACACAAAACCUAUAUUGUUCUGCUUCCCUGCAUUGCAUUUGUUCUCUGCAGUUUCAGACUGCUUACCUAAUUCAAUCAUUUGGCAUGCUGUAAUAUUAGAUUUAGCAGUGAUGUGUUUUCUAGGCACAAGUGAAAUAAGAAAUUUGUUAAUUCACAUACUACAAUACUGCUAGAAUCAUAAACUUCAAUGAGAAAUUGCUUUUACAUACAUUCAUUAAGCUUUUAGACUGCCUUGAGAUAAAACUGUUACAAUCAAAAUCAGUAUAAGGAUGUGUUGAAAAUGGUUUUGCCAAUUAAAGGCUGACCCUGCUGUUGGUGGUUGUUUUGUGGCUUUGUUUUCUGGUGUUUUGUUUUCUAUUUGCACUUUAAGUGGGAUCCUUAAACAGACCAGAAUGGCUGAUGAGGAGGAGAACCACUGACUUGGUGUUGAGCUUGUAUGGAAGGAUCAGAUAACCAGAGUAAAACAGAUCAUCAUUCAUUAAUUUGGGAAUUACUUAUAGAAAUUCAUGACGGAAUCUUUCAAUAUUAUUGAAACUUAAUUAUCAGCUUUUAGAAAUGAUUCUUUUCCAUUCUGCUACUGAACAUUUUUAUAACUCUGACAGAUGUACAGCUGGUGGACCACGUUAAUCUGCCAUUAUUAUUAUUACUGUAUUGUUUUUGACAUAAAAACAGUUUUGGCUCUCAUUUUCCUUGAAACAGCUUCUUAGAUGAGAAUUUCAUUUGAAGCCAGACUUAAUCCUAGUCUUAACUGUUAAUUAGGGAACUGGCAUGGAACAAGUGGGAGCAGAAGUUAUCUGUUUUUAGACAGAUUUUGUUCUUGUAUUUGGCUUUCCAACUUAAGUAUCUGUAAUAGGAUGUGAGUUGCUGAUCCAUUACCAUUGUGUUUACCCAGAUUUUUGUCAAGAUAAUCCAAGAAGACAGUUAGUAACCAAUUACAGAACACAGGAAAAUCUGUUAUUUCAUGUUCAAAUGAGCCUGAAUUUAAUUCUUUAAGUGUGUUAUUUAAUAAUUAACUCUAACCCAUAAUCAGAUUUUUUUGACACCUACUCAACUGAAAUCAGUGCACGAGUUUGAGGUUUUGUAUGGAUACAUACAUGUCAUCAACUAACUGUGCCACUGCCAAAACCUUGUUAUUAACAAACUUAAACUAGUGCAGGCUUAUGCCUCCAUGCAGGCAAACGCAAAGAGCUUCCUCAUAAACCCCUUGUGCGAUACAAGCAUUUAAACUCUGGGUUUGUUGACAGUUGCAGCCCUUGGGAAUCUUCCUGUGGUGUGAUAUUUCAGAGAGAUGCUUCAGUUGAUUGAAAUGAAGCUGCUUUUGAUGUGAAAAGUUUUGAUGCAGAACAGGGAGGCGGUGACCUGAAAUAAGCUUUCAUUUUGUCAUACCAGAAACACACACUCUUAAGAGGCCACAAGUUGGCGAUGCAAUAAAGACAUCGAUGUAGAUACGUUGGUCACUGAUGUGAAAUACCAAACUGCUUAAAGCUUAUGGUAUUUUACACUUGUAUGCCAACCACGUUCAUCUAAAAGGAUUUCUAUUUCCUUAUCCCUCUUUCCUGUAGUUCUCACAAAAUGCAGAAUAAGCAACACUGAGCAAGAGCUGUACAGAUCUAUUGAAGGAAAAUACUAGAAGUAGGCAGGGUUUUUUUUUGUAUUUCUAUUUGUAUUUCUUUUUCCUUGACUUUAUCAGUAUGUAUUCUUCUUCUUGGAGCUGCUCACGGCCAUCUUUUGCUGACUCACACAAAGAGGACCAUCCCUUGCCCCUUGCUCCUUUCUGCUAUCUAUACAGCGCCCUUAUCGCAGCUGGGAUACUUCCUGUAACGAAGGAACUUCUGCACUAGAAUUUUUUGAAGUUAAUUUGUAGACAAUUAAUCUGAGGUGCUGGAAUGGAGCUUCUGAGAGAUUAGUCUUUCCAGUAGAGAACAAAACAAAGCCAUAAAUACCACUCAGUAGUUGUCACCAACAUGUAUCACCAUAGUCCCAGACAACAGAGGAAGACAAGUGCAUGCUCACAAAAUGCUCAUUUCCCAAACUUUAAAAAUAAUGCAUUAAUGGACUUGUAGCGUACACAAAAGAAUUCUUACAUGGAUUAGUCUAAAAUGUAGAGCUGGGGAGUUGGAUUUGAUGACCUUUAAGAGUCCCUUCCAAAUGAUUCUGUGAUUCUGUAUUUAUACCAGCUGAAGUGCUAGCCAAACCUUUACAUGAUAUCAUUUCAGUUCCACACAAUCUUGCAAACACUUUCAUGUACCGCAGCUUCAGUCACUUGUGCUAUCCACGUGAGCUAAGUGCAUACACAAAUACCUGUGCGACUGGUUUGGUAGGAAAAGACCUAACCAUCAUCAAGGCUGGCAUAGAGAAUUCAAAUUUCUUCAUUGUCAAUUAUGUGAUAAUGAUGAUAUACACCUGUCAGGUAUGCUUUCCCCUAGCAAGUGCUUUCCCCUUUUUCUAAGACUGCUGCAUUUUUUUUUUCAUGCACGAAAACACUUUUCUCAUUCUUUUUCUCCUACCCUCUCUGCCUCCUUUGUAAAAUAUUAUUCUAGAGCUCAAAAGGACUCAGUGGAAUUUCUGGUUUUUUCCUCAUCAAAAGAAAUAAACCCCUGUUUGCCUCACUUGGCACACCCUUUAGUGAGGACAUGGUUGACCUGACAGCUGGUAUGUCAGCAAAGCUAAACAAAACUCAUGGAUUUUGAAGGUAAGUCCACCAUAAAUUAAGCUGCCUGAUGAGAUCUGCAGAGAACAUAUUUAAUGAGUUGUGUUAUAUCAGAGGUCUAGUAUAGCUGCAAGAGUAUGUUAACUGUAAAUUCAAUGUGUGUUUAAAAAGUGGGCUGCUGAUAACUGCAUUUUUCUUAAUCCCAGUGUGAGAAAAAUGGUGGAUAAAAGUUCAGACAUAAUAUUCUAGUUCUUGCAUUGAUAAGAAAUAAUUUGUAAUGGGUAUUUUGCUGUUUCCUACCUUUAUUUCUCUUCUUCCAAAGAUACAUCCCAGGUAAUAUUUAGAGAUCUUUAUCCCCAAACUGCAAUCUUCACAGGUCUGUACAGUUGGCCUUUGUUGUUCCACAGAAGUACGAGGUGCAGAGGACAAGAGGGAAUGGCUUUAAGUUGUGCCAUGGGAGAUUCAGGUUGGAUAUUAGGAAAAGGGAUGUGGACAUGGGGGAUUGCACUUAGUGGUCUUAGAGCUCUUUUCCAACCUUCUUAAUGAUUCUACGAUCAGUUGAAGGAACUGCGUACUCUUCCAAGCAGGCUGAAUUAAAUGGCAGCUAGUGAUUUAGAAUAAAAACUUCACUCUUUGAAAUAUGAUAACCUUCCACAGUAUUUCGACACGCUUCCAGCUGUUGGUCUUGAACUUUCCACAUAGCAACAAUACCCACAUGAGCAGAAAACACAGCUGAGUUUUCCCGUCAGAAGGAAUCUGGCAGCACUCCCGAAAGGUCUGUACAGUUUGUUCGUUCUUUAGGUCUCAGAGAAAAGUGCUUGUGUGUGCUAACAGAACGACUACCAAAAUUAUCUCCUUUUCCUUUAUUGACUAAAAAAGGCUUUAUAUAUAUGUAUUUCUUUGUCCAGUAGGAAAAUUCAGUAAAAUGUUACCUGGGGGGAAAAGGGGGUAAGGGUAGGCACUGAACUAGCUAUUGUUUUCUAUUCUAUGCUGGCAACAUUUUAGCUGCAAAACAGUAUUCAGCCCUAAGCAUGGACUGAGCAGAACCCAGAAAAGAAAGGCUGAUCAGCAGUGAAGAAACUUGACAAGUAAGGGCAAGUUGAUGAAAUGGUGUUUGUUUGGUCUAGCAAAGCUGAGGCGAAGAAAGAAAGAUGGAACAGUCUGGAACAGAGGUAGUGAACAUGCAGUGAUGAAACAGGAUCUGGCACCAACCAGUUGUCUGCCCUUCAUGACAAAGCAGUGGCUCUCAGGCAGGUGUUCAGGAGACAUAAAAGACAGUCUCCCUCCCCUCCCACACCCGGAGCAGAGCAUAUUCAUGGACCAUUUUCUACCCAAACAGGAGAGCUUCAGCAGACAAAAUUAACUUAAACAGCAGUGAUCCGCUAAGCAUCUUCCCUCCAUGUGCCCAAUGGGUAUCUAGGGAUCUGUUAAUGCAAACUACAAAUCACAAAUCUACAAAUAUAAAUAACUACACUGUAACUUAAGCAGUAUUUACUUCACCACAAUCUACCUAUGAAGUCAUGUCUGUUUGCAACUCAGCUAUCUGGAAGACAGAAUAGAGAACACCCUCAACUUUCUCUUUAUUGGCUAUUGGGUAGGAUGGGGAGAGAAUUCUCAACAUCAAAAUAUUUUCCUCUCUCUUUUUUGCAUGAAAUCAUAGAAGAAUCAAGAAAAAGUGACUACAUACCAGGUUAAAAUGCAAAUGAAAUCAUAGGAAAAAUAAAAGAAUACAUGAUUUGUGUUGAACAGGUGAGACCUCACAAUGAAAUAUGAUUGUUUUCCGAGGGACUGCAUGUCUUAGACAAGGUGCACUGUACCCUGAAUGAGACAAUCUGCAGCCAAAGAACUUCAGCUCAGGGAAGCUUCCACAAAGAGAAUAAAUACUUCUGUCUUCUUCCUUCUGGCCUGACUUUGUGGAGCUGGUUCAAAUGCAGUCCUCAUAGCUCCAGCUAAGACCUGUUCUUCCAUCUAAAAUCAAUUGUAUCCUGGAAUUCAAGGCUAUAGGUAAAUUUAUUUUACAGAAACCUCUCACUUAGGUAUAGAAUUAACUAAGCAGAAUUAAAUAUUUAAGAGAAGGGAAAUGCCAAUGCUGGUUUAAAUUACCAUGUAUUUCAUUUAAAUUAUCAUGUAUUUCAAACCCAAAAUUUGACAGUCUGUGGUUUUGUUUUUCUGUAUGAAAAAAAGUAAUGGGGCAGAAGUUUGAAAAGCUCAGCUGCUAUACUUUGCUUGAGUGUGUUUAAUAAGGAUGUUGGGGCUACUCCGUUAUUUGUAUGUCAAUACAGAGAUUCACUUUUUGCUCCUCUAAGGCUUAAUGGUUUUUUUUUCUUUUAAUCCAGUAGCAACUCUUGUUCUCUCUGCCCUAAAUGGCCACCUGGAAGUGAGAGCUGUCAUUUCUUGCCAGGUGCUCCAUAUGGUUGUCCUCAGUAGCAAGAGAAGAUGCAUGCAUAGCCAGUGGGCCUUUUUUGUUGGCCAAAGGAAGGCUUUUUAAAGAAAAAAAAUUACCUGUCUCUCACAGCUGUAAUUUUACUAUACAGGAUACAGUGGAUUCAGCUGCAAGAGCAUGCACAGCAGCUGGCUUCUGCCUGUUUCAGUGCAAUCUGUCUCUGAUCUUUAUUCUAAUGAAAAAGAUAAAGGGUCUAUUGGUAACAUUUAAAAAAUUGUCCAUACUCAGAAGAUGCCCAUCUCUACUUGUACCUUGCAGCAUGGACAGCACUGAAGAAAGAGCUUGUAACCACAUGCAACAAUGUAGGUGAGGCAGUGAAAAGGACCAGACAGCUGGCAGGUAACAGAAGCAGGCAGAUGAUAAAAUGAAAAGACAAAGUGCUGAUGCUUACAUUACAAUCUAUCUUAAAAACUUGCAGUGGAGAGAAACUAAGUUUUCCAUAAAAGAAGGACUAAUCUUAACAGUGUGUAAAUAAGAGUGCAGUUGUACAAGACCAAGCCAUCUCUCUGCUUCUGGUGCUUAGAGGGACAUUUUCCAUUCACCUCUGCCACUUCCUUUUCUCUCCUCUCCUCACAUGCUCCGUAUUUGCAUUUUGUGAUUAUGAUAGCAAAAAUCCCCUAACCCAAUUAAGUACUUUUUGCCAAAUUAGAGAGCAGAAUUGCCUCACCAAGGGGGCCAGAUAAGCAAUGGAUCCAGUCAAAUGCUGAGAGCCAAUGAAACAGCGUAGGAGGAGGCAUGCUGCAGGGAGCAGUGAGAUAUAUUUAGAAGCCUAAAUUUAGACAUUUUGUUUAAUUGCCUAGCAUUUUGGAGCUUGCAGUCACUCUCAUUUGUAAGUAAUAAUCACUCUGUUUCAAACAGCUACAGCAAAAGUUUGUAUGACAGAGAAGAUUGAAGUGGCAAAGGGUCUAAUUUGUUUUUGUAAACAAAGUCACUCAACUUUAACCAAAUAAAAGAAACAAAGGGACUUAAACUCAUUUUUGUGAACUGUUUCUGCAGAGUAUGUGGUUGACUCUGUGCUGUUUCAGACGGUGAAGUUUGAAAAAAGAAUGCCUUCUUUUAGGGCUCACAAACACUGUCAUUUCCUGGGUUUUGGUGAAAGCCACAGAAUGACUGUCACACAAAUCAUUGCACGAGCCCUAAAGAUAGCUCAUUUCAAAACAAGCACAGAUGUGGUCCCACGUUUCUCAUUUUGUACAGCAUGUGUUCAAAAGGAACCAACAUAAACCCUCAAAUGCUCGGUUGGAAGCGCCAUCUUCGUGACAGUGAAUGGCCUUAUGCCUAGCAAUGACUACUUCCUACGGAUACACGUUGUUCAGUGUUGACCUUUAAGGAGCUCAGUACGUGCUCUUUUGUUCCCUGAGUGAAGUGCAUGAGCAAUACACUUUGGGUGGACUUACAUGGCAAGUGCUUAAACUCAUCCGACGCUCCAGGAUUAACCUGCUUACAAGCACAAAGCUGAUAAGCAGGCUCCAGAUUCACUGAGAUUAAACAGCAGUUUUUACUGCAGCUCUGUUAUGUUCUAAAACCAUUUCCUGUGUAUUUGGAUUUCUUUACUAUGAUGUAAGUUCAGUUUUGGUUUGUUUAAGAGCAUUUAACUUGUUUACUCUUCAACCUUUUUUUUUUUUUUAGUUGAAUUACAUUUCCUAAUUUGUAUUUAUGUGGAAAUAUUUCCUAAGUUGUAUUCAAGUGGAAAUAUUAUACAAAAAAAGCAGAUUUGCUGAAACUGCAGGAGUACUUUCAUGAAUCUUACGAUGUCUUAGGAUGCCUUAGGAUGAUGUCCUAAAUGGGUCCCUCACAGAAACACCUACAGUUUUACAAGUUUUCAGAAUUCAGAGGGUGAACUUCUAUUUUGAAAUCCCUAAAUGGGCAUUUUUUUCAAUAAAUAUUUUUUCUAAACCAUAAAAUAAAAUGUCCUCCUCUGAACUGCCACCAUAUGUGUAAAGGUUUGAUAUUGAUGCCUCUUCAGCUCUCAUCUAUUACAUGUUCCUAAAGGCAAUGUUCUAAUUUCCUGACAUUUUAUGAGUGCAUUUCUUGGAAGAGUGAGUCUUGUCUCCAGUAAAUUCAAUUUAUGAGGGUGCUUCCAAGGCAGUCUAGCACUGACUGAAAUCAGCAGCAUCUGCAUCACACAGUCCAUU